rnacentral:rRNA from 1 species
AUUGAACGCUGGCGGCAUGCCUUACACAUGCAAGUCGAACGGCAGCGGGGGAGAAGCUUGCUUUUCCUGCCGGCGAGUGGCAAACGGGUGAGUAAUACAUCGGAACGUGCCCUGUAGUGGGGGAUAACUAGUCGAAAGAUUAGCUAAUACCGCAUACGACCUGAGGGUGAAAGUGGGGGACCGCAAGGCCUCAUGCUAUAGGAGCGGCCGAUGUCUGAUUAGCUAGUUGGUGGGGUAAAGGCCUACCAAGGCGACGAUCAGUAGCUGGUCUGAGAGGACGAUCAGCCACACUGGGACUGCGACACGGCCCAGACUCCUACGGGAGGCAGCAGUGGGGAAUUUUGGACAAUGGGCGAAAGCCUGAUCCAGCAAUGCCGCGUGUGUGAAGAAGGCCUUCGGGUUGUAAAGCACUUUUGUCCGGAAAGAAAUGGCUCUGGUUAAUACCUGGGGUCGAUGACGGUACCGGAAGAAUAAGGAGCGGCUAACUACGUGCCAGCAGCCGCCGUAA